rnacentral:rRNA from 1 species
GAGUUUGAUCAUGGCUCAGGAUGAACGCUAGCGGCAGGCCUAACACAUGCAAGUCGAGGGGUAACAGGUUUAGUUUACUAAAUGCUGACGACCGGCGCACGGGUGCGUAACGCGUAUGCAACCUACCUAUAACAAGGGGAUAGCUUAGAGAAAUUUGAAUUAAUACCCUAUAAUGUAAUUGACUGGCAUCGGUUAAUUAUUAAAGAUUUAUUUUGGUUAUAGAUGGGCAUGCGUAGCAUUAGCUAGAUGGUGAGGUAAUGGCUCACCAUGGCGACGAUGCUUAGGGGUUCUGAGAGGAAGGUCCCCCACACUGGUACUGAGACAAGGACCAGACUCCUACGGGAGGCAGCAGUGAGGAAUAUUGGUCAAUGGACGGAAGUCUGAACCAGCCAUGCCGCGUGUAGGAAGACUGCCCUAUGGGUUGUAAACUACUUUUAUAUAGGAAGAAAGUUUGUCUUGCGAGAUAAUUUGACGGUACUAUAUGAAUAAGCACCGGCUAACUCCGUGCCAGCAGCCGCGGUAAUACGGAGGGUGCGAGCGUUAUUCGGAUUUAUUGGGUUUAAAGGGUGCGUAGGCUGGAGCAUAAGUUAGUGGUGAAAUUUUUCGGCUCAACCGGAGACGUGCCAUUAAAACUGUGUUUCUUGAAUGUGAUUGAAGUAGGCGGAAUAUAUCAUGUAGCGGUGAAAUGCAUAGAUAUGAUAUAGAACACCGAUAGCGAAGGCAGCUUACUAAGUCAUGAUUGACGCUGAUGCACGAAAGCGUGGGUAUCGAACAGGAUUAGAUACCCUGGUAGUCCACGCUGUAAACGAUGAUCACUAUCUAUUGGGUUUUCGG